CGGGGGGAGCAAGCGUUGUUCGGAUUUACUGGGCGUAAAGGGCGCGUAGGCGGCCACCGCAAGUCGACUGUGAAAUCUCCGGGCUUAACUCGGAAAGGUCAGCCGAUACUGCGGGGCUAGAGUGCAGAAGGGGCAACUGGAAUUCUCGGUGUAGCGGUGAAAUGCGUAGAUAUCGAGAGGAACACCUGCGGCGAAGGCGGGUUGCUGGGCUGACACUGACGCUGAUGUGCGAAAGCUAGGGGAGCGAACGGGAUUAGAUACCCCGGUAGUCCUAGCCUUAAACGAUGAAUGCUUGGUGUCUGGGGUUUAUAGUCCCCGGGUGCCGUCGCUAACGCUUUAAGCAUUCCGCCUGGGGAGUACGGUCGCAAGACUG
rnacentral:rRNA from 1 species